rnacentral:rRNA from 1 species
AACUUUCAACAACGGAUCUCUUGGCUCUCGCAUCGAUGAAGAACGCAGCGAAAUGCGAUACGUAAUGUGAAUUGCAGAAUUGAGUGAAUCAUCGAAUCUUUGAACGCACCUUGCGCCCCUUGGUAUUCCGAGGGGCACACCCGUUUGAGUGUC